rnacentral:rRNA from 1 species
UACACACGGAUAACAUACCGAAAGGUAUGCUAAUACGGGAUAAUAUAUUUGAGAGGCAUCUCUUGAAUAUCAAAGGUGAGCCAGUACAGGAUGGACCCGCGUCUGAUUAGCUAGUUGGUAAGGUAAAGGCUUACCAAGGCGACGAUCAGUAGCCGACCUGAGAGGGUGAUCGGCCACAUUGGAACUGAGACACGGUCCAAACUCCUACGGGAGGCAGCAGUGGGGAAUAUUGCACAAUGGGCGAAAGCCUGAUGCAGCAACGCCGCGUGAGUGAUGAAGGCCUUCGGGUCGUAAAACUCUGUCCUCAAGGAAGAUAAUGACGGUACUUGAGGAGGAAGCCCCGGCUAACUACGUGCCAGCAGCCGCGGUAAUACGUAGGGGGCUAGCGUUAUCCGGAUUUACUGGGCGUAAAGGGUGCGUAGGCGGUCUUUCAAGUCAGGAGUGAAAGGCUACGGCUCAACCGUAGUAAGCUCUUGAAACUGGGAGACUUGAGUGCAGGAGAGGAGAGUGGAAUACCUAGUGUAGCGGUGAAAUGCGUAGAUAUUAGGAGGAACACCAGUUGCGAAGGCGGCUCUCUGGACUGUAACUGACGCUGAGGCACGAAAGCGUGGGGAGCAAACAGGAUUAGAUACCCUGGUAGUCCACGCUGUAAACGAUGAGUACUAGGUGUCGGGGGUUACCCCCUUCGGUGCCGCAG